ensembl:piRNA 21ur-14847 ncRNA
UGAUUGAGCUGCAAGUGAUAG